rnacentral:rRNA from 1 species
GCUUACCGCCACACCAGCUUGAGAAAGCCUGAGCUAGUCUGACCUUGGAAGGUAAACAGGUUUGGGCUGGUUUAAUACUGAGGUGGGACCCUAUCUGGGAAUACUAAGUGCUGUAAGCU